CUACGGGGUGCAGCAGUGGGGAAUAUUGCACAAUGGGCGCAAGCCUGAUGCAGCCAUGCCGCGUGUAUGAAGAAGGCCUUCGGGUUGUAAAGUACUUUCAGCGGGGAGGAAGGGAGUAAAGUUAAUACCUUUGCUCAUUGACGUUACCCGCAGAAGAAGCACCGGCUAACUCCGUGCCAGGCAGCCGCGGUAAUGACGGAGGGUGCAAGCGUUAAUCGGAAUUACUGGGCGUAAAGCGCACGCAGGCGGUUUGUUAAGUCAGAUGUGAAAUCCCCGGGCUCAACCUGGGAACUGCAUCUGAUACUGGCAAGGGUUAGUAUCGUAGAGGGGGGUAGAAGUCCAGGUGUAGCGGUGAAAUGCGUAGAGAUCUGGAGGAAUACCGGUGGGGAAGGCGGCCCCCUGGACGGAGACUGACGCUCAGGUGCGAAAGCGUGGGGAGCAAACAGGAUUAGAUACCCCGGUAGUC
rnacentral:rRNA from 1 species